rnacentral:tRNA from 1 species
GGCCGGUUAGCUCAGUGGUUUGAGCGUAGUGCUGAAAACAAGGAUCAACACUGAGGUCGCGGGUUUGAUUCCCGCUCGGUCC